rnacentral:rRNA from 1 species
AACGAACGCUGGCGGCGUGGAUAAGACAUGCAAGUCGAACGGGAUUUUGUUCUGUAGCAAUACAGGAAAAAGUCUAGUGGCGAACGGGUGCGUAACACGUGAGCAACCUGCCGUGAAGUGGGGGAUAGCUCGCCGAAAGGCGAAUUAAUACCGCAUGUGGCCAAGGAAGACAUCUCCCUGACGCCAAAGCCGGGGCAACCUGGCGCUUCUCGAGGGGCUCGCGGCCUAUCAGCUUGUUGGUGAGGUAACGGCUCACCAAGGCUAUGACGGGUAGCUGGUCUGAGAGGACGACCAGCCAAACUGGAACUGAGACACGGUCCAGACACCUACGGGUGGCAGCAGUCGAGAAUUUUUCACAAUGGGGGAAACCCUGAUGGAGCGACGCCGCGUGGAGGAUGAAGGUUUUCGGAUUGUAAACUCCUGUCAUUAGAGAACAAGGCACACGGUUUAACUGGCCGUGUGUUGAUAGUAUCUGAAGAGGAAGAGACGGCUAACUCUGUGCCAGCAGCCGCUGUAA